rnacentral:rRNA from 1 species
UUCGCAAUGCCCGAAAGGGUGACGAAGCGACGCCGCGUGGGUGAGGAAGGCCCUCGGGUUGUAAAGCCCUGUCAGGAGUUAAGAAAUGUGGAUACGCUAAUAUCGUAUCUAUUUGACAAAGGCUCCAAAGGAAGCCACGGCUAACUCUGUGCCAGCAGCCGCGGUAAUACAGAGGUGGCAAGCGUUGUUCGGAAUUAUUGGGCGUAAAGAGCACGUAGGUUGUUUUGUAAGUCAGGUGUGAAAGCCUUCUGUUCAAAGGAAGAACGGCAUCUGAAACUGCAGAUCUUGAGUAUAGGAGGGGAGAGUGGAACUUCUGGUGGAGCGGUGAAAUGCGUAGAUAUCAGAAGGAACGUCGGCGGCGAAAGCGACUCUCUGGCCUAUUACUGACACUGAGUGUGCGAAAGUUAGGGGAGCAAACGGGAUUAGAUACCCCGGUAGUCCUAGCCGUAAACGAUGGGCACUAAGUAGAGGGGUUUU